CAAACCCGCACGCAGACACAUACACGCACAGCUGGGCGGGGUGUAUUGAGAAAAGGAAACUUACUGAACUGAAGUAGACUAUUAAAGAGAAAAACUUGUUGGGAGGCUUGAAAAACAGGUGAAGAUCAGAUGAGCCUGGCUCUUCAUUGAAAGACUGGCCACUGGAACCUAAUUACACCCCAUUUUCCCCUCAGAGAAGACUGUUACAGAGACGGCCCCCAUGGCUCAGGAAGGUCCCAGCACAGCAGACACUCGCAGGGGCAUUCAUCAGUGUAACUCCCAGGGAUGCAUCUGCUGCAAGCAUAUAUUAAAGGGAUCGGAUCUAUUUCAGAGUGCAGCUACAGGAAACAUAUAUGAAAUCCCACAAUCCCUGACCUGUAAGACACCAAGUGUCAUCUACGUCAUCCAGUGUAAAGAAUGCAAGGUGCAAUAUGUUGGGAAGACCUCAACCACACUGCAAAAAAGAUUCAAAGACCACAGAAGUUCCAUCAGAAAAUGUCAACAUCGGCCAAUCCCUGAUCAUUUCACCAAGAAUGGUCAUCGUCUUGAUGAUCUGAUUAUCUAUCCAAUUGAGCAGGUCACUGGUUCCAAAGAAUUAAGUGAGAGGGAACUGCACUGGAUCAGAGUGCUUGACACAGUUGAAAAUGGACUAAAUCUGGGGCCAUAUAAAUGUGUAAGACCGCAGACCCAAGAUGAUGGAGACAAAAGACCAGUGGAACCAACUGAGGGACAAGUGGAAGAUGAGUCUCCUCAGAAAGGUAAAAGAAAGCUCCAUGGGAAUGAAGAUGUGAAAUCAAAGAAGAGGAAGAUGAAAAAUAACAGACAGUCUGUGUUUUCAUAUGAGACAGAAGAACUUCUCUCAACCUGUGAAGAUGCAUUCCAGGUUGGAAAAGAUGCCAUAUCUGAGGUUGACAACAAACUCGAAGGGGUUUCCUGCCGAGAAAACUCAUUUCUGGAAGACUUGAAAGAGAAGAUCUCAAGUCUAAAAGAUUAUAACCACGAAGAGAAAAUUUACAUUGGAUUCUUCGGGAAGACGGGAGCAGGAAAGAGCUCAUUGAUCAACGCAAUUGUCGAAGAAAGCCAACUUCUACCUUCAGGAAGCAUGCAUGCCUGCACUUCCGUUUUUGUGCAUGUACAAGCUAAUACUGAAUCCAGCAAAUACAAAGCUGAUAUUGAAUUCAUCAGUGCAGAGGACUGGAAAUCAGAACUACGUUUCCUGCGAGAUUCACUCAAAAAUGAAAAUGACCAAGACUCACUCAAAAAUGAAAAUGACCAACAAGACACCAUUGCAGAAAACGAUGAUGGAAUUGCAGAAAUGGCAAAAGAAAAGAUUACAGCCGUUUAUGGAGAAGAGGGCCUGAAGAAAGUUUAUGGUGAAUUGGUGGGAGCCAGAGAGUUUCCUGUGGUUCUAGGCACAGGAAUGAAGACUCUGACUUUUGACACUGUCGCAGAACUGUCUGAAGGCAUUGAAUGCUACAUUCGGAGUGAUACAGAAUCAGAUACAAAUGAAGGGAAGCAGUUCUGGCCUCUGGUGAAGCGAGUCACCAUCUCCUUGCCGAAGUCUCCAGCUCUGCUGGAGGGGAUUGUGCUGGUGGACCUGCCUGGAGCUGGAGAUGUCAGUAAAUACAGAAGUGACAUGUGGAAAGAGUGUCUCAGCCAGUGCUCCUCUGUCUGGAUUGUGAAUGAUAUGAAACGUGCCCUGUCUGAGAAAGUAGCCAAUGAAAUCUUUGAUACAUCAUUGAGAACCAUUGCUGGAGGAGGAGAGUGUUACAAUAUCACCUUCAUCUGCACCCAUACAGAUAUCAUCAAUCCAGAGAACUUCAGAAAAAAUUAUCGUAUCACAGAUGAGGACCUUAACAUUAACAAGGAUACCCCGGAAUAUGAGAAGAAAGAAAAACAGGCGUGUAUACUGUGCCGUAAUCAGAAAUUUAAAGACAAAAUCAGUAAAGUCUUCAAAGCUAAAACAAAGAAAUUUCUGCUUGGUGAUGAAGACCGUUCAAAUGAGUUCUUUGAUGUGUUCACUGUGAGUUCUGAAGAAUUCAAGAGUACUGCACAAGGGAAGUCAACUGUUCUGGAUCGCAAUGAAACUGAAUUGCCAGCGCUGAUGGAGCACAUGAAGAAACUGUACGUCUCCCAUUUCGAGAAGAAAGUGAAAGAUUAUGUAUCUGAGGUUUCUGGAAUCAUUUCAUAUCUUCACUUUUCAAAGGAUGCUCUCAGUUCAAAGAAACAGUCUUCAAAUGACGACGAAUUCAACCGACUUGAAAAGGUUCUGGGUAAAACAUGCGAAAAAUUGAAUGAAAAUCUGAGCCAAGUUCACCAAAAACUCCAGAAAGAACUGGAGAUGGGAGUAAAGACAGCAGAGACAACAUGCCUGAAAAAUGCCACAGACAGAGUGCUGGAAUCAGUAUUACCGCUUACUUGAGUGAAUGUGAAUGUUGUGAAGUGCAACAUUUGCAGAGCCGAACUUGCCUGGCAUGGGAGCACAUCGAUGAUGCUGGAGCGUCUGAAGAGGAGGCACUUUGGCUCUCUGGAUGAUGAAGAUUUGUCUUGAAAGGGCCUGAUAACAGAGGCCACCACAAGACGCUUAAAGCCAUGUGUAGAAAUGAUGGAUGUUACCGAUCUGUAACAGGAGGGUUAGUUGAUCUGAACUACACUCUGUCAGAACCCAUGUACAAAAAGAUGAAUGAAGACAACCACUUCCAGAAGAUAUUUGGCACUGGACCUUCAGGAACCUCUUUCAGAAAGACCCGAAAGACCUCAAUUCAAGCGCAAUUUGAAAGUUUCCAAGAGAACUUCAUCACAAAUGACUAUCUGAUAAUCAGGACAAGGGAUAAAGAGAAAUACCUGCGUCUGGUGUACAUUAGAACAGAGCAAAGAAAAGUGCACAGGAAACUGGAGAAUGAAAUCCUACAGAGAAAGAAGCUGAUCUACAAUUCCCUCAGUGAUUCAAUCCGUGACAAGAUGAAGCAAACAUAUCAAGAAUGCUCUGACAUCACAGGAAAAGAAUCUUUCAGAAAGAUUCAGGAGAAAAUUAAAAGUGCAAUUGAGGAUUUCAAAAAGACCAUGUUCCACAAUGCCAAGACGAAGAUGCUGAAAGAGUUCAGUGAUCUGCAGAAAUACAUUGUGGAUCAAAUUAAGACACGGAUGACAACCGCCUUGAGACUGGGUCUACGCCAGAUCCCUGAGGACCUGACUGGCCUCCCAGACGUUUCAGAAGAGACUGAGAUGAUGGAGCGAUGCUGUGAGUCUUUGGGCCUCCAGGUGUUUUAAGAACCGAAAGAGGAUGAUGGAUCCAGAAGCAGCAGAAUUAUCAAACUGAUUUGAGAUCACCAUGGCAACCUGUCUGUGGGUGCUGUCAAAUAUGCAUUCUAUUGAUAACCAUUUUUCUUAUUAUUUCACUGACUAUGUAAUACUUAAUACUUACUGCUUAACUGCACAACAAGGCCACAGAUUAACAUCGAUGAGUUUUUGUGGAAAGGUGGUCUCAAAUACACUUGCAGCAUCAAUGUUGGCUUUGAAUAACUAGUCAACUUAUCAGUUCAGUAAGCAAUAAUGUAUGUUAAACUAUGUGAUACUAUACUUCUGCUGUCGCUCUUUUUAGAAUCUUUAAACAGAAAACUAUUUUUUCGUACUUUUUUUAUUGAUGAAAACAUUGAAAAAUGAAUAAUUUGUUUAGUUUAGAACUCAGGGUGGUAGGAAUACAGCAAUCAUAUCAUGUUUGUUCACUUCUUCAAUUCAGUUACUUUAUGCAAUAUAUAAUCAUAUCAAUAAUCAUCUUAAAGUAGAAUGUGCCUGGUAUAAGAAAGGACUUUUCCUGUACUGUGGGAUUUGUUCUUUGCCAGUUUAAUAUUUAGAAUUGUUAAAACAGCUAAAUUGUUGAACUUCAGUCUGAAUCACUUCUAAUUUGGAAAAGUGAGGGCAUAAUGAAUGUUUAUUCUCCUGGGCCUGACAGUAGGCGGGUGUGCCUUUCCUCAGUUUGGUCUGGAUUCUGGACUUUUUUAUUUGGAAAAUUGUAGUUUUUAUUUCCAUUCGCUUGAAUCAGGGCUUUCGUGUAAUACAGCUGCAAGGAAGUUUAGGGAAUAGAACUGCAUAUCACUGGUUUACAUCUACUUUUAGUCAUAUUUCAAAAAAUUGCUUUUUAAAAAUAACAUUUACAUACUUAGUAUUUCUAGAACCACCUCCAUAUCAGAACUGCUCUUAUCCGCCUAUAUUGAUCUUAUUUCUUUGUGUGGGAUUUAUAGUGGGAAAUCAGGUUUGUAGGGAUAUAGCCAUGUGUGUUUACUUCUUCAAUUCAGUUACUUACAUGCAAUAUACACUCAGUAGCCACUUUAUUAGGUAGACCUGUACACCAGCUUCUUCAUGCAAAUAUUUAAUCAGCCAAUCAAAAUGCAUUGUUCAUGAGAGUGGUCAAAGGAGAAGGGCCAGACUGGUCAAAUUUGACAGGAAGGUGACAGUAACGCAAAUAAGCAGACAUUACAACAGCCUCUAAGUGGAUCGGCUAUAGCAGCAGAAGAAGAAAAGGGAGGAAAAGUGAAUGUCCCACUGAACUGCAUUGCUAAAUGCUAUGCUACUGCAUUUCAUCAUAGAUGGCAGCAGCAGCAACUUAAUUUAAGCAAACAAAGCAUUAAAUCGCUCUGCAACCACAAAAUCACACGGCUCCGUAUCGUCAGCAAAUGAUUGACAUGCAGCUCUUCGUUACUUUUUUAAAAUAUCUUGGUUACAAGCACACGGUCAGAUUUGUGUACCAAACACAACAACAAAGAUUAAGUUUAUCCCUGGCUGGCCACUCUCAUGAGAGGCACUAAAACAUUCGGGCCCUGGGGUUUUUUUCUCCAACUGUGCUUGACAUUGGUUGCAGGCUGCCAUCGAUAGCCGACUGAUUACAUAAAUGUAUUCUAUGAUUUUUAAAUCACACGAGUCGGGACGAUAAAUGAAUACAGACACCACUGCCGGUGGCAUUAGGAUGGAGUUUUAGCCUCGUCGAUCUAAAAACGCAAAACAGGACUUUUUUCUCAUUGAAAUCCCAUCGUAUUCAGCAUAUAGCUAUGUAUUUAAACCAUGAAACACAUACUUUGAGUCCAGACUUCAACGCUAUGUAGUUGUUUAUAUUUAGCUUCCACCGUGCUAUUUAUUAGGGAGCAAUAUACUGGAAGUAUCGGCCCCCGAAACAUCCACUUUACCUCCCUAUAAGUCAAAAAAAUAAGUUUAAUAAAUACCUAAUAAAGAGCUCACUGAGUGUAUAAUCAUAUCGAUAAUCAUCCAUGACGUAGAAUGUGCCCAGAAUAAAAGGGGAAUUAUUCUGUA